rnacentral:rRNA from 1 species
UACGAAGGGGGCUAGCGUUGCUCGGAAUCACUGGGCGUAAAGCGCACGUAGGCGGCUUGUUAAGUCAGGGGUGAAAUCCUGGAGCUCAACUCCAGAACUGCCUUUGAUACUGGCGAGCUUGAGUUCGGGAGAGGUGAGUGGAACUGCGAGUGUAGAGGUGAAAUUCGUAGAUAUUCGCAAGAACACCUGUGGCGAAGGCGGCUCGCUGGGCCGGUCCUGACGCUGAUAUGCGAAGGCGUGGGGAGCGAACGGG